GCAUUCCAGGGAGGAGUGGGGAGAGCCGUGGGAUGGCCGGAGGCGGAGCUUCAGGGUAAACAAACGUGACGCGUGCGUACGAGGGCGGGGCGGGGGGGGCAGUUUCCCAGGAGGUUCCUGAGCCGGCCUCGGAGAGGGCGGUGAAGACAGGCGCGCGGUGCACUUUGGGGGUUGUGGUUCUCCUCCGGGUACCGGCAAUCCCGAGGGAACCAUGAUGGACUACAAGUCCCAGUGGUCCUUAGCCCCUGCCCCUCCUGGCCGCCGGCAGCUGGCCAUGGCCAGUGAGUAUUGUGCCCUCUGCCGUUGAACUCUGCUAGAGUUCUUAAUGAACGCGAAAGCUCUUGUUCAUUAACUUGUACUUUACCCACACUCAAGCUCGUCAGACGACGUUUCUUUUCCCUGCUAAUUAAAGAUGAGGGCUUUCAGAGACUCUAAACUGUACGUAGGACCCGGGUCCUGGUCCUCACCUCCGCCCAUUGUAUGAGAUAGAUACACACCCGCCACGCCGCAGGAUCACUGACAGCGAGUGGGCCAACCUCACUUUUUUCCCACUUUUUCAAGACCCAGGAAGACAGGCGGUGUCUGGGAAUUCUAAGUGAGGCUGUCGUUGAAUGUGCUUGGUGGAAGUCACAACCCUAAGACUGUCCUCUCCCUAUCCUGUAUUUGAAAAGGAAAAUGGCAAAGGACUGAGAUCUCAUUGAUCUUGAAUUCUGAAGUAGUUUAAUGAUGCGGAACGCACUGGAAAGUAGAAGAAACAUUAGAAUGGAGACAUGGUGGGAACAUCUUUUCAUCAAAAGACAUCACCAAGAGAGUGAAAAUGCAAGCCCCAGACCACUGGGAGACAACACUUUCUAUUCAGGAUAUGUGAAGAACUCCUACAAAUCACUAAGAAAGAAGCAGUCCCUUCAAUUAACAGACAGGGUCUUACUCUUUGCCCAGGCUGGAAU